UGGGGAAUAUUGCACAAUGGGCGCAAGCCUGAUGCAGCCAUGCCGCGUGUAUGAAGACGGCCUUCGGGUUGUAAAGUACUUUCAGCGGGGAGGAAGGGAGUAAAGUUAAUACCUUUGCUCAUUGACGUUACCCGCAGAAGAAGCACCGGCUAACUCCGUGCCAGCAGCCGCGGUAAUACGGAGGGUGCAAGCGUUAAUCGGAAUUACUGGGCGUAAAGCGCACGCAGGCGGUUUGUUAAGUCAGAUGUGAAAUCCUCGGGCUCAACCUGGGAACUGCAUCGGAUAACGGCAAGCUUGAGUCUCGUAGAGGGGGGUAGAAUUCCAGGUGUAGCGGUGAAAUGAGGAGAGAUCUGGAGGAAUACCGGGAGCGAAGGAGGCCCCCUGGACGAAGACUGACGCUCAGGUGCGAAAGCGUGGGGAGCAAACAGG
rnacentral:rRNA from 1 species